GCUACACACACACUGCCCAAAGUACAGGCAGGGUCCGCCACACCUCCACACACUUCUGGUGGGUCAUAAAUUAUGAUUGAGAGGAAUUAUUUAUUGUUUGGGGGAAAAUCCAACUCAUUCUGCCUUUAAAGUUGUCGUUCUGAUUAAAAGGCUGAAAUGUCUCCCGUUGCCAUAGAAACGACAUUGAACAUGAGGCUGUGGAGGGAGACUCAAGUUUCCUGUUACUGUGGGCCUGUCUGGACUCACACACUCAAGGGUACAGGGAGAAGGCUCCAGUCCAGCUCUGGCUGCAAGGUACCUACAUGUUCAGUCUCUUUGUGGAACAUGGAACAUAUGUGGUGUAUAACAGUCCCACUGACUGCGACGUUCAGAGUAUGGAUACAUGAACAGUCCCUUGCUUCCACUGGAAGGUUCAGCCCGGUAACACAGAGGUGGUGGCAGGUUAGGUAGGACAAGUGGGAGAGUUUUACCAGGUGAGCAGAUAUUAACAACAGUCC
rnacentral:lncRNA from 15 species